UCUGUGGAGAGACUGAACGCCAGGGAGAAGGAGGCUACCUGGAGAACAGAAGGGAAAGGCAGAUUUUCUUUCUUUCUUUCUUUCUUUCUUUCUUUCUUUCUUUCUUUCUUUCUUUCUUUCAAAACAGCCAAAUAGAGCUGUUAGGCGCCACUUAGACUGAGAAGCCUCCUGAUUGGUGAUUCGGCAGCUCCUUGCAGCUUUCAAACUCAGGCAGCAUCCUGCAGCCUCUAGAGGACUUAAUUCAAUUCAACAAAUGCUAUUGAGCACCUACUCCUAACGGGGAGAGGGAAGGGGGAGUUCCAACAAUUACUGACUACUUAAAUUAUAUUAGCAGAGUGUUAAAUGCAUUUACACGUAAUUUCAUCUCCAGUCACAGCUACCUCAAGAGCCUGUCAUUUACCUGCAGGGAUCUAAGAGGUCAAGUGACUUGUCCUCUCAGUGUGAAGGGUAGAGCCAGGAUGCAGCCAGGAGUUCGAAGCUUCCCUUUCUCUAAGACUAGUCAUUCCACAACAAAUUCAGACGGUUGCAAGUGACUGCUGUAUAAACUAUUUUAAGCAAAACGGGGAAUGCAUUGGCUUACUUAACUAGAAAGCACAGUCAGCUGACUCCAGGCUUGCCCAGAGCCAGGUACUCCUACCAUGCUGUCAGUUCUCACACUUGCUCAUGAGUAUAAACCCUUCAGCUUCCUUAAUGUUCAUCUCGGCUUAUAAGGCAGCACAGCUUGACAGCUUUGGAAUCCCACAGCCUGAGUUCAAAUCUUGGCUCCAGCAACCUACAUAGGUGGGUGGUGUUAAACCCAUUGCUUAACUCUUGAUUCUCCUGCUUGAUUUUCUUCAUCCCUUGGUUGGAGCCAGCACUUCUCUUGGGAUUCAAUCCUGGGGCCCAGGGGUCAUUUCUCACCUUGUAAAGUGGGGAGAAAUCUCGAAUUCUCACCCUGCAACAAUUCAGGGUUUCCUGCAUGCUAGGCAACCCCCCUCCCCCACUGUGUCCCUUUCUGUGAGGUGGCAUCCAUAAUUAGUUCACCUCAGAGGGCCCUGUGGGGAGUCAAGAUUCUCCACACCAAGUGUUUGUAAUAUGGCCUGGCCUGAAGUCAGCACCCAAUAUGUCAACUAUGUCAACUAUGAUUCUUUCUAACCCUGAACUGUUUAGGGUGGGUUUAUUCCCUUCCAUUAGGCGGCCCUUCCUCCAUGUAGAGAGAGAUGGACAGAACUCCCUGGCUACAACAUCCUUAUAGCUUCCAGACUCAGAAGAAAGACUUCUCUCUGUGUACACAAGUGUAGCAAAUCUCCACGCGGACUAGUCAGUUCUGGAGUCUCCAUCCUUUUCAAUGACGGGCCUUCCUACCUGUGAUCCAGCUACCCAGUCAACCUACUGCCACUCCUGUCACCACCACGACCUUGUGAUCUCACUCCUGAUUUUAGCAAGAAGUGACCCAUCCUCCUGGGGCUCCUCUGUAGCUCACUCGCCAUCCCUGAAGACCCUCCCCCAGCCUUCCCUGCCUGCCUUCAGCACCACUCCCACUUCUCAAGUCUGGUGUUUUAUCUCCCUUUGGAGUGUUUGGAAACUUGCCUGGGUUAGAGCAGCGGCUCUCUCUCACACACACAGCCCUUGUCUGACCUGUCUCACUACACAGACAAACUGAAUUAUUCAUCAGUAGGAGCGAGAGCUGCUAAAACCACCAGCCAGGGUCUGGUGAGGAUGCUUCUGUGCCUCUUUUUGAUGCAUUGAGCUAUUUUUCCAAGUUGCUGAAAUUCCAUCAAAUGGGAGUGGGGGCCAAGCUGAUGGCCAGAGAUAAAAGCCCUGUGCUUUUGAAGCUUGA